rnacentral:rRNA from 1 species
CACGUAGGCACCAAGCGUUGUCCGGAUUUAUUGGGCGUAAAGAGCUCGUAGGCGGUUCAGUAAGUCGGGUGUGAAAACUCUGGGCUUAACCCGGAGAGGCCACCCGAUACUGCUGUGACUUGAGUUCGGUAGGGGAGUGGGGAAUUUCUAGUGUAGCGGUGAAAUGCGCAGAUAUUAGAAGGAACACCGGUGGCGAAGGCGCCACUCUGGGCCGAAACUGACGCUGAGGAGCGAAAGCGUGGGUAGCAAACAGG